rnacentral:rRNA from 1 species
CGGCGUGCCUAAUACAUGCAAGUCGAACGCACUGACGUCGACAGAAGGUGCUUGCACUGGAAGUUGAUUGACGUGAGUGGCGGACGGGUGAGUAACACGUGGGUAACCUGCCCUUAAGCGGGGGAUAACAUUUGGAAACAGAUGCUAAUACCGCAUAAAAGUUGAGAUCACAUGGUCUUAAUUUGAAAGACGGCCUUUGGCUGUCACUUAAGGAUGGACCCGCGGCGUAUUAGCUAGUUGGUGAGAUAAUAGCCCACCAAGGCGAUGAUACGUAGCCGACCUGAGAGGGUAAUCGGCCACAUUGGGACUGAGACACGGCCCAAACUCCUACGGGAGGCAGCAGUAGGGAAUCUUCCACAAUGGACGAAAGUCUGAUGGAGCAACGCCGCGUGAGUGAAGAAGGUUUUCGGAUCGUAAAACUCUGUUGUUGGAGAAGAACAGGGACUAGAGUAACUGUUAGUCCUUUGACGGUAUCCAACCAGAAAGCCACGGCUAACUACGUGCCAGCAGCCGCGGUAAUACGUAGGUGGCAAGCGUUGUCCGGAUUUAUUGGGCGUAAAGCGAGCGCAGGCGGUUUCUUAAGUCUGAUGUGAAAGCCUUCGGCUUAACCGAAGAAGUGCAUCAGAUACUGGGAAACUUGAGUGCAGAAGAGGAAAGUGGAACUCCAUGUGUAGCGGUGAAAUGCGUAGAUAUAUGGAAGAACACCAGUGGCGAAGGCGGCUUUCUGGUCUGUAACUGACGCUGAGGCUCGAAAGUAUGGGGAGCGAACAGGAUUAGAUACCCUGGUAGUCCAUACCGUAAACGAUGAAUGCUAAGUGUUGGAGGGUUUCCGCCCUUCAGUGCUGCAGCUAACGCAUUAAGCAUUCCGCCUGGGGAGUACGACCGCAAGGUUGAAACUCAAAGGAAUUGACGGGGGCCCACACAAGCGGUGGAGCAUGUGGUUUAAUUCGAAGCUACGCGAAGAACCUUACCAGGUCUUGACAUCUAGCGCCAAUCCUAGAGAUAGGACGUUCCCUUCGGGGACGCUAAGACAGGUGGUGCAUGGUUGUCGUCAGCUCGUGUCGUGAGAUGUUGGGUUAAGUCCCGCAACGAGCGCAACCCUUAUGAUUAGUUGCCAGCAUUUAGUUGGGCACUCUAAUCAGACUGCCGGUGACAAACCGGAGGAAGGUGGGGA